ensembl:ncRNA C13G3.7 ncRNA
ACCUAUCAAAUCAAUUUCAAAUCACAUCAUGCUUUGACUUGAAAUGUAUUCAGAUCAUACACGUACACAACCCACUCAGAUGGCACUAUUUGAGUUGUAUUCUAGGAAUCCUGUAGAUUAUUCACCAUUCUGAUC